UACGUAGGGGGCAAGCGCUGUCCGGAAUCAUUGGGCGUAAAGCGCGCGCAGGCGGUCCUUUAAGUCUGAUGUGAAAGCCCACGGCUCAACCGUGGAGGGUCAUUGGAAACUGGGGGACUUGAGUACAGAAGAGAAGAGUGGAAUUCCACGUGUAGCGGUGAAAUGCGUAGAGAUGUGGAGGAACACCAGUGGCGAAGGCGACUCUUUGGUCUGUAACUGACGCUGAGGCGCGAAAGCGUGGGGAGCAAACAGG
rnacentral:rRNA from 1 species